GACGAACGCUGGCGGCGUGCUUAACACAUGCAAGUCGAGCGAUGAAACACCUUCGGGUGCGGAUUAGCGGCGAACGGGUGAGGAACACGUGAGGAAUCUGCCUUCCACUCUGGGAUAACUCCGGGAAACCGGGGCUAAUACCGGAUACUUUCAACUGGCGGCAUCGCCGGUUGAAGAAAGUUUUUCGGUGGAAGAUGACCUCGCGGCCUAUCAGCUUGUUGGUGAGGUAAAGGCUCACCAAGGCGACGACGGGUAGCCGGCCUGAGAGGGCGACCGGCCACCCUGGGACUGAGACACGGCCCAGACUCCCACCGGAGGCAGCAGUGGGGAAUAUUGGGCAAUGGAGGAAACUCUGACCCAGCGACGCCGCGUGGGGGAUGAAGGCCUUCGGGUUGUAAACCUCUUUCAGCAGGGAAUAAGCGAAAGUGAAGGUACCUGCAGAAGAAGCACCGGCUAACUAUGUGCCAGCCGCCGCAGUAA
rnacentral:rRNA from 1 species